rnacentral:rRNA from 1 species
CCUACGGGAUGCAGCAGUGGGGAAUAUUGGACAAUGGGCGAAAGCCUGAUCCAGCAAUGCCGCGUGUGUGAAGAAGGUCUUCGGAUUGUAAAUCACUUUCGACGGGGACGAUGAUGACGGUACCCGUAGAAGAAGCCCCGGCUAACUUCGCGCCAGCAGCCGCGGUAAUACGAAGGGGGCUAGCGUUGCUCGGAAUGACUGGGCGUAAAGGGCGCGUAGGCGGUGUAUGCAGUCAGAUGUGGAAUCCCCGGGCUUAACCUGGGAGCUGCAUUUGAGACGCAUAGACUAGAGGUCGAGAGAGGCUUGUGGAAUUCCCAGUGUAGAGGUGAAAUUCGUAGAUAUUGGGAAGAACACCGGUGGGGAAGGCGGCAACCUGGCUCGAUACUGACGCUGAGGCGCGAAAGCGUGGGGAGCAAACAGGAUUAGAUACCCCAGUAGUC